GCGAGUAAAAUGCCCUGCGUGUGAGAAGCAGGCUCAGAUUAUUGCUACUCUGUAUUCAGAUCUUCAUGUGUUUCUUCUAAGCUGAAUAAAGCUGUUUUGGAACUGUCAGGUACCUCAAAGGAAUGUUCUGUAAAGAAGAGUUGUCAAUUGUGCACAGAAGAUAAGAAAUAUAUGAUGAAUAGAUAAUUGAAAAGAGAUCUUCCCGAAAGAGCAGAAGGAAGUUUCUUCAAUGGCUUCCUUCAGGAUUUUAAUCAUCCUUACAGCCUCUUUGAGAAUGAUUGAACUUCCAAAUUCCCUAAAGUUAAAAUUUUAAAUUCUAUUAAACAUUUUUUCGAGUA
rnacentral:sRNA from 1 species